UACGGGGGGAGCAAGCGUUGUUCGGAUUUACUGGGCGUAAAGGGCGCGUAGGCGGUAGCACAAGUCAGUUGUGGAAUCUCCGGGCUUAACUCGGAAAGGUCAACUGAUACUGUGCGACUAGAGUGCAGAAGGGGCAACUGGAAUUCUCGGUGUAGCGGUGAAAUGCGUAGAUAUCGAGAGGAACACCUGCGGCGAAGGCGGGUUGCUGGGCUGACACUGACGCUGAGGCGCGAAAGCCAGGGGAGCGAACGGG
rnacentral:rRNA from 1 species